ACGGAAGGCAGCAGUGGGGAAUAUUGGGCAAUGGGCGAAAGCCUGACCCAGCGACGCCGCGUGAGCGAAGAAGGUCUUCGGAUUGUAAAGCUCUGUUGAUAGGGACGAACAAAUGACGGUACCUAUCGAGGAAGCCACGGCUAACUACGUGCCAGCAGCCGCGGUAAUACGUAGGUGGCAAGCGUUAUCCGGAUUUACUGGGUGUAAAGGGUGUGUAGGCGGGGGAGCAAGUCAGACGUGAAAUCUAUGGGCUUAACUCAUAGACUGCGUCUGAAACUGUUCUUCUUGAGAGUCGGAGGGGUAAUCGGAAUUCCUAGUGUAGCGGUGAAAUGCGUAGAUAUUAGGAAGGACACCAGUGGCGAAGGCGGCUUACUGGACAGCAACUGACGUUGAGGCUCGAAAGCGUGGGGAGCAAACAGGAUUAGAUACCCUGGUA
rnacentral:rRNA from 1 species